GCCCCCGUAGCUUAAUGGUAAAGCAGCGGCCUCUUAAGCCGUGGAUGAGGGUUCGAUUCCUUCUGGGGGCA
rnacentral:tRNA from 1 species